AGGAGGAUAGUUAAAUAUAACAUUUAUAUUGCAAAUAAAAAGUAUUGGCUUAUCAAUUUCUCUUA
rnacentral:tRNA from 1 species